GUUAAAAAGCUCGUAGUUGGAUUUCUAGCGGACGCGUCUGGUCUGCUCCGCGAGGAGUUUGCACUGAGAUGUCGUCUGUUAUCCUUGAGAUGAUCGGCACUGGCAUUAAGUUGUCGGUGUCGGGAGUCUCAUCGUUUACUGUGAAAAAAUUAGAGUGUUCAAAGCAAGCUUAGGCUCUGAAUAUAUUAGCAUGGAAUAAUAAGAUAGGACCUUGGUGGUCUAUUUUGUUGGUUUGCACGCCGAGGUAAUGAUUAAUAGGGAUAGUUGGGGGUAUUCGUAUUCAAUUGUCAGAGGUGAAAUUCUUGGAUUUAUGGAAGACGAACUACUGCGAAAGCAUUUACCAAGGAUGUUUUCAUUAAUCAAGAACGAAAGUUAGGGGAUCGAAGAUGAUUA
rnacentral:rRNA from 1 species